rnacentral:rRNA from 1 species
AGCGAACGCUGGCGGCAGGCCUAACACAUGCAAGUCGAGCGCCGUAGCAAUACGGAGCGGCAGACGGGAGAGUAACACGUGGGAACGUACCCUUUGGUUCGGAACAACCCAGGGAAACUUGGGCUAAUACCGGAUAAGCCCUUACGGGGAAAGAUUCAUCGCCGAAGGAUCGGCCCGCGUCUGAUUAGCUAGUUGGUGGGGUAAUGGCCCACCAAGGCGACGAUCGGUAGCUGGUCUGAGAGGAUGAUCAGCCUCACUGGGACUGAGACACGGCCCAGACUCCUACGGGAGGCAGCAGUGGGGAAUAUUGGACAAUGGGCGCAAGCCUGAUCCAGCCAUGCCGCGUGGGUGAUGAAGGCCCUAGGGUUGUAAAGCCCUUUCGGCGGGGAAGAUAAUGACGGUACCCGCAGAAGAAGCCCCGGCUAACUUCGUGCCAGCCGCCGCUGUAACAC